AGCAUGGUCUUAGCUUGCUAAGGCUGAUGGCGACCGGCGCACGGGUGAGUAACACGUAUCCAACCUGCCGUCUACUCUUGGCCAGCCUUCUGAAAGGAAGAUUAAUCCAGGAUGGCAUCAUGAGUUCACAUGUCCGCAUGAUUAAAGGUAUUUUCCGGUAGACGAUGGGGAUGCGUUCCAUUAGAUAGUAGGCGGGGUAACGGCCCACCUAGUCAACGAUGGAUAGGGGUUCUGAGAGGAAGGUCCCCCACAUUGGAACUGAGACACGGUCCAAACUCCUACGGGAGGCAGCAGUGAGGAAUAUUGGUCAAUGGGCGAUGGCCUGAACCAGCCAAGUAGCGUGAAGGAUGACUGCCCUAUGGGUUGUAAACUUCUUUUAUAAAGGAAUAAAGUCGGGUAUGCAUACCCGUUUGCAUGUACUUUAUGAAUAAGGAUCGGCUAACUCCGUGCCAGCAGCCGCGGUAAUACGGAGGAUCCGAGCGUUAUCCGGAUUUAUUGGGUUUAAAGGGAGCGUAGAUGGAUGUUUAAGUCAGUUGUGAAAGUUUGCGGCUCAACCGUAAAAUUGCAGUUGAUACUGGAUGUCUUGAGUGCAGUUGAGGCAGGCGGAAUUCGUGGUGUAGCGGUGAAAUGCUUAGAUAUCACGAAGAACUCCGAUUGCGAAGGCAGCCUGCUAAGCUGCAACUGACAUUGAGGCUCGAAAGUGUG
rnacentral:rRNA from 1 species